AAAUUGAAGAGUUUGAUCAUGGCUCAGAUUGAACGCUGGCGGCAGGCCUAACACAUGCAAGUCGAACGGUAACAGGAAGCAGCUUGCUGCUUUGCUGACGAGUGGCGGACGGGUGAGUAAUGUCUGGGAAACUGCCUGAUGGAGGGGGAUAACUACUGGAAACGGUGGCUAAUACCGCAUAACGUCGCAAGACCAAAGAGGGGGACCUUCGGGCCUCUUGCCAUCAGAUGUGCCCAGAUGGGAUUAGCUUGUUGGUGAGGUAACGGCUCACCAAGGCGACGAUCCCUAGCUGGUCUGAG
rnacentral:rRNA from 3 species